UGAAUAUCAAAACAAAGUGGGACAGACGGAAUGUUUAGUAUGUGGGGACGGCUACACAACUGAUAGUAAAACGGGUCGUUCCAGCUGCGAUGAGGAUGGGUCUGGUAUUAUUGACGAAAUCGGUGAAGCCGCUAAAGGAUUGAGUACAGUAACAGUAGCAGUGAUAGCAGUGGUAGCAGCUUUACUUGUAGUUGUUAUUAUAACCGUGACUGUGUGUGUUGUCAAGAAUAAGGGCAACAAAGUCGGCAAGCUCCAAAAUAGGGUAUCACCCACCCCUGAAGCAGGUAGAGAUAACCAUGGCUACUUGAAUAGCAGAACGAGCGUGCAGCAUUCUUAGUAGAACUAAACUAUGAUUUAGUAUGAAUAGUCCCUGAACUAGAACUUGUAUGAAUAGUCCCUGAACUAGAACUUGUAUGAAUAGUGGACAUGAGAAAAGCCGUUUUUUAGUAAUUUGCAAACGUUGAAUGUAGAAACUGUAAAAUUGGCUCAUCGGACUGAAGAUUUAUUUUCAGAAUGUACGUACUGAAAGUAUUACCAUUGGCAUUACCAAUGCAAGUGUGAAAAUUCAUAUAUUAUAUUAAGAUAAACAUAUUUUCAUCUCAAAGAUUAUCACGAAGUAACUUAAUUAUGUGAAUUUUUCUGUUAACUAUUUGAAUUUAAUGAUCAGUCGAACGUUUGCAGACUUGAACUCUGGUCAUUUUGAACGUAAUCGAUGAGAUUUUAUGUUAUUUGGUUCCAUGAGAUAAAAUAAUUUCAUCGAAUACAAUGAAGAGUUAAAACUGAUCAAAGUGUCUAGAGCUUACUAUAAUAGAUGUGGAUACAAUUUGAAUUAUAAAUAACUCGUGAAUCGAUUUUUGUACUUGGUCAUAAAACAAUCAGUCGUAAUUAUAAUUAAUUAUUGGGUUUUAGGUGUUGUUUUGCUAUUUUGAGUUUGCACUUUGCAGAACUGUACAAAAUGUAAAAAAUGUAAAAAUAUUAUUUUAUCCAAUCGUGAUUCAGACGAAAUGAUUCAGACGAAAAUAUGUUCAUUCGAAAUUGCUAUUUUGAAUUUGUUCAAUCGAAAAUAUUUUAUAGUAUAUAAUGCUCUAAGUAUUUAUUUUCAUAUCUGAAUUUAAAGUUUUUAACAACCAAGUGACCCCUUAAGGAUAUAAAUUUACCACUUUAAGUUGUCAAUUAUACUUUGCUAAUCUACUGAUAUAUUGUACAGUG